UCAUUCAUUUGGGCACUCUGGUGAACCGCCUCGGAUAACGGGGAGGAAGGUGGGGAUGACGUCAAGUCCUCAUGGCCUUUAUGUCCAGGGCUACACACGUGCUACAAUGGCCGGUACAAACCGUUGCAAACCCGCGAGGGGGAGCUAAUCGGAAAAAGCCGGCCUCAGUUCGGAUUGCAGUCUGCAACUCGACUGCAUGAAGCUGGAAUCGCUAGUAAUCGCGGAUCAGAACGCCGCGGUGAAUACGUUCCCGGGCCUUGU
rnacentral:rRNA from 1 species